CUCAUGUCACAGGCAACAGUUACUAGUUUUCCAGGAUUGGGCUUCAAGGUCAGUGUCUGCAAUCGUGCUUAAACCCCAAAUAUUAACAACGGGAAACAUCUGAUCAAUCAUCAAUGGCUAAAUCUCUUUCUCUACGCUUUCUUCACCCAAAACCCAUGGCUUUCUCGGCAUCAACGACCAUGAAAUUCACUCCCUCUCCCUUACUUUUUUCCUCAAAACCCAAAUCUCUAAACAAAUUGGUCUUCUCACUUCCAUUGAGGUGGUUCUCCUCCACUUCUUCUCCUUACCCUCUUCAGUACGAGAUGAUUAUCAACCGCCCAACUCAGC
rnacentral:misc_RNA from 1 species